GACGUAGGGCGCGAGCGUUGUCCGGAUUUAUUGGGCGUAAAGAGCUCGUAGCGGCCAGUUGCGUCCGCUGUGAAAUCCCAGGGCUUAACCCCGGGCGUGCAGUGGAUACGGGCUGGCUAGAGGCAGGCAGGGGAGAACGGAAUUCCCGGUGUAGAGGUGAAAUUCGUAGAGAUCGGGAGGAACACCAGUGGCGAAGGCGCCUAUCUGGCUGACAACUGACGCUGAGACUCGAAAGCAUGGGGAGCAAACAGG
rnacentral:rRNA from 1 species